rnacentral:rRNA from 1 species
UACGGAGGGAGCUAGCGUUGUUCGGAAUUACUGGGCGUAAAGCGCGCGUAGGCGGCUUUGUAAGUUAGAGGUGAAAGCCCGGGGCUCAACUCCGGAACUGCCUUUAAGACUGCAUCGCUUGAAUCCGGGAGAGGUGAGUGGAGUUCCGAGUGUAGAGGUGAAAUUCGUAGAUAUUCGGAAGAACACCAGUGGCGAAGGCGGCUCACUGGACCGGUAUUGACGCUGAGGUGCGAAAGCGUGGGGAGCAAACAGG